ACUUGACUUGGAGUCAGAAGGC
rnacentral:miRNA from 1 species